AAGAUUUUAAGUUAAAGUUUAAACUAUUAACCUUCAAAGUUAAUUAUAAUAUAAAGGAUUUAUUAAAUCUUA